CAGUUGUAAAUGACAACUUGUUCUCAACUAGCCUACCUGGUUAAAUAAAGCUGAAAUAAAAUGUUUAAAAUGCCAGGCUGUUAAAUCAGGUGUAAUUGUCCUCUCUUGUUGCCAGGCUGUUAAACCAGGUGUAAUGGUCCUCUUGUUGCCAGGCUGUUAAACCAGGUGUAAUGGUCCUCUUGUUGCCAGGCUGUUAAAUCAGGUGUAAUGGUCCUCUUGUUGCCAGGCUGUUAAAUCAGGUGUAAUUGUCCUCUCUUGUUGCCAGGCUGUUAAACCAGGUGUAAUGGUCCUCUUGUUGCCAGGCUGUUAAAUCAGGUGUAAUGGUCCUCUUGUUGCCAGGCUGUUAAAUCAGGUGUAAUGGUCCUCUUGUUGCCAGGCUGUUAAACCAGGUGUAAUUGUCCUUUCUUGUUGCCAGGCUGUUAAACCAGGUGUAAUUGUCCUUUCU
rnacentral:lncRNA from 1 species